rnacentral:lncRNA from 10 species
AUGUCCUGCAGAAACUAGCUGCCCAGUAACAAGCAGCAGUUAUAGAAUCUAAUAAAGUGGAGCCACUGGCUGACAUUAAAGGGUUACUACAGCAGUACUAUAUACACUACAAAUCCAAUAUGGAGAUUCUCAAAUUAAAACCAAUAAACCUGGCAAAGAAUUGACAGAGCUGGUGAUAUUUAUGGCACAGAUUGGUCACUGUUACCCAGAACAUCUAAGUAACUUUCCUCAAGAGCUAAAAGAUCUACUUUCCUACAAUUAUACUGUACUGUCUUGAAUCAAAAUCAUCUAAUAACAUUUUACAAAGCUUUGAUCUUGCUGAGAAGUAUCAUAUCCAUCCAUCAAGUUUGCUAGAGCUCUUUUUUGAACUUCCAAGUUGCCAUAAUAAGCUUUUGAGACUUUACAUACUCAUGUUGUGACUGAUAGCAAGAAUAUAACUGUAAAACACAAGAAUAAAGUGGAUAUAGUACUGCAGAAUUUCAUAUACAUCGUGUUAAGAGACAGCAAUGUAACUGCAGCCAAGAUAUCUUUGGAUGUGAUGACUGAACUCUACAAGAAACAUCCGGACUGAUGCCAAAACUGUCAAUGUCAUCACAACUGCAUGUUUUGAGAUAUUGGUUGCCACCUUGACAUUCUUCCUAGGAUAAGAUGAAGAAGAGAAACAAAUAGGACAGACUCAGAAUCUGAGGAUAAAGUGACAAGAGACCUACAAGUGCAGUAUGUCACUGGGAAGAGUGGCUCCAAACACAAAACACUGAAAAGGUUAUGAAAAGUGCCCAGGAAACAAAAGAAGAAAAAACUCACAGUGUUUAACUUUUAAGCUAUUAGCUUUAUUCAUGAUCCUCAAAGUUUUACCAAAACACUCCUGAAGCACACAGCUAGAAAUCUCUAAGCAGAGGUUUGAGUUAACAUGAUGCUCAUAAAUCUUAUCUCCAGAUUGGCAGAAAUUCAUAAGCCCUCUAACUUCUAUGCCUUUGGGCAAAAGUUUCUGCUGCUGCACCACAGAGAAGUAACAGAAAUCACUGUUUGCUAAACAUGCAUUUCAUCACCUGUUAGUCCCAGAGAUCACUCAGUUAUUGCUCAUGACUGUGACCAUCCAUUAUGUUAUGGACAAGAACUUUAGGGAAGACAUGACAGUCCAAAUCAGUGCUAUAAGAGGUAAUAGCUCAAUGUCCCCUAGCCAUGACAGAAGAACUUCCUCAAGACCUGUCCCAGUAUAAAACACACAAGGAUAAGAAUAUGAUGCUGUCUACUAUAACUGUGAUUCAGUUCUUCCAAAUCCUCAGAUGAUGCAGAAUUCCAGGGUAAGCUGACAGAGGCCCCAGUAAAAUCAACAGUGCAAGAAUAUGGCCAGGGACAAUGGCUCCUGCCUGUUAAAUCCAGCUAUUCAAGAGGCUGAGGGAGGAGGAUCGCUCGAGGCAGAAAAGAGAAAGAAAAAGAGAAGGCUGAAAAUGAUAAAGAUGGGUGGGGAAGCACCAGUCUCAGUGAGGAGGAGGGUGCUGCUGGUGAAUCUGUUGACAAGUAGAAACUGCAAGAAAUCUCCUAGAAGCUGAACAGCACCCAUGGAGGAGUGAAAAGCCAAACUAAACGAUGACUUCUAGAAAAUCUGCAUGGCUCAACUAAGGAAAAAAUUCAGUGCUGCCCCCAGGGAAAGCCCAAGAGGAAAUGUAUUGAAAUAGUGAUAAGGAGCAAGUAAUUUUUUCUAACAUUGAUGACAGUCAUAAAAAGCCAAAGUCUGACAAGGAGACAUGACUAGCAACUGCAAUGGCUGGACAGACCAAAAAGAAUUUAUGAGGAAGAAAACCAAAAUGAAUCAUUUUCCAAAUCCAGAGAUAAAGAGAAAAAAGAAGAACUUUGAUGAUUAGGUAUAGCCAGAAUGUCCCGUCAAAAAAAAUAAGCAUUCCUUUGGGGAAAAGCUGCUGCCACUAUGAGAUACACUUAAAAAAAAAAAUAGAAAAAUAAAAAGAGAGAAAAAGUAA